rnacentral:rRNA from 1 species
GACGAACGCUGGCGGCGGGCUUAACACAUGCAAGUCGAACGGAAAGGCCCUGCGUUCGUGGGGUGCCCGAUGGGCGAACGGGUGAGGAACACGUGAGUAACCUGCCCUUGACUUUGGUGUAACUUCAGGAAACUGGGGUUAAUACCGUAUAGGAGCUCCUGCAGGAGGGAGGGGGUUGGAAAGUUUCGGCGGGUGGGGAUGGACUCGCGGCUUAUCAGCUUGUUGGUGGGGUAGUGGCUUACCAAGGCUUUGACGGGUAGCCGGCCGGAGAGGGUGACCGGCCACCUUGGGACUGCGAGACGGACCAGACUCCUACGGGGGGCAGCAGUGGGGAAUAUUGCACAAUGGGCGGAAGCCUGAUGCAGCAACGCCGCGUGCGUGAUGACGGCCUUCGGGUUGUAAACCGCUUUCGCCUGUGACGAAGCGUGAGUGACGGUAAUGGGUAAAGAAGCACCGGCUAACUACGUG